ACUUGCGACUUACUUGGACAAAUUACAAAACGCGAGUUUCAUCCAUUUUUAACACAUUUGGAGCUAUGGAGCUCGGAUUGAAGCGAUUUUUGAGGCGAUUUUCACCAUAUGGAUUGGGAUACGAACCAUUCAGAGUUGGAUAAUCGAGGAAAAUGUCAAUUAUUGGAUUGAGAUGGCGUGAUUUGAGAGCCAGGUAUUGGAGAUAUAGGACUCGGAAAGAGUUAGAGAGUGAUCGCAAGGAUUCAAGGUAGAGCUGUUUGGUCGUCGUAGUCCCUUGGAGUCUUUCUCUUUUAUCGUACUAUCAUAUAUUAUUCGAGCAAUAUUGUAUAUUUAAUUUCCUUCCGAUCAUUUCAUGUAUUCAGUUAGAGUUCGUGACUCAGUACUACCAGUCUUGGGAGGUUGUAUCUUUAUUUUU